rnacentral:tmRNA from 1 species
GGGGCUGACUUGGAUUUCGACAGAUUUCUUGUCGCACAGACAGCAUGCCAAGCGCUACUUGUAAAACAGCAACAAAAAUAACUGUAAACAACACAGAUUACGCUCCAGCUUACGCUAAAGUUGCGUGAGUUAAUCUCCUUUUGGAGCUGGACUGAUUAGAAUUUCUAGCGUUUUAAUCACUCCAUAACCUUAAGCUAGACGCUUUUAAAAGGUGGUUCGCCUUUUAAACUAAGAAACAAGAACUCUUGAAACUAUCUCAAGGUUUUAGAAAGUUGGACCAGAGCUAGUUUUAAGGCUAAAAAACUAACCAAUUUUCUAAGCAUUGUAGAAGUUUGUGUUUAGGACAAGAUUUUUGGACUGGGGUUCGAUUCCCCACAGCUCCACCA